ensembl:miRNA
CCUGUAUGUAUGCAUGUAUGCAUGCAUGCAUGCAUGUAUACAU